UACGGUUUGUCACCGUCAGUCUCCUUAGAGUUCUCAGCAUAACCUGUUAGCAACUAAGGACAGGGGUUGCGCUCGUUACGGGACUUAACCCAACAUCUCACGACACGAGCUGACGACAGCCAUGCAGCACCUGUCACUCGGUUCCCGAAGGCACCCCCUCAUCUCUGAAGGGUUCCGAGGAUGUCAAGGCCUGGUAAGGUUCUUCGCGUUGCAUCGAAUUAAACCACAUGCUCCACCGCUUGUGCGGGCCCCCGUCAAUUCAUUUGAGUUUUAACCUUGCGGCCGUACUCCCCAGGCGGUCUACUUAUCGCGUUAGCUGCGCCACUAAGAAUACAAGACUCCCAACGGCUAGUAGACAUCGUUUACGGCGUGGACUAC
rnacentral:misc_RNA from 1 species